UAGGGAAUCUUCCACAAUGGGCGAAAGCCUGAUGGAGCAACGCCGCGUGCAGGAUGAAGGCUCUCGGGUCGUAAACUGCUUUUAUAUGUGAAGCGGUAGCAUAUGAAUAAGGAUCGGAGUAACUGCCGGUACCUUGACGGUACCUAACCAGAAAGCCACGGCUAACUAC
rnacentral:rRNA from 1 species